rnacentral:tmRNA from 1 species
GGGGGCGACAUUGGUAUCGACCGGAUAGCCUGAAGUGUAAGUGGCGUACCGUGGUUGGUCAGUUGGCCACGUAAAAAGCUGACUAAACAAUUUUAAUUGCAGAUAAUAAUCUAGCAUUGGCUGCCUAAUUAAAGGUAGCUCGGACUCUAGGGCUUAGCUGGUUAGCUCUAACAGUCCGUCACAAAUCCAGAUCGACUUUUGUCAUACUUGACACGCAGAAGUCUAAAUUAAGUUUCAGGUUCGCGAACUAUAAAUCCUGUCGAGCGGAGUUAUAGUUUGCUAAAACCAAAGAAUCGACUAUGUACGUAGAAGCUUACAUGAAAAUGUCUCGGGACGCGGGUUCGAAUCCCGCCGCCUCCACUC